rnacentral:rRNA from 1 species
AGUGAACGCUGGCGGUAGGCCUAACACAUGCAAGUCGAACGGCAGCACAGUAAGAGCUUGCUCUUACGGGUGGCGAGUGGCGGACGGGUGAGGAAUACAUCGGAAUCUACUUUUUCGUGGGGGAUAACGUAGGGAAACUUACGCUAAUACCGCAUACGACCUACGGGUGAAAGCAGGGGAUCUUCGGACCUUGCGCGAUUGAAUGAGCCGAUGUCGGAUUAGCUAGUUGGCGGGGUAAAGGCCCACCAAGGCGACGAUCCGUAGCUGGCCUGAGAGGAUGAUCAGCCACACUGGAACUAAGACACGGUCCAGACUCCUACGGGAGGCAGCAGUGGGGAAUAUUGGACAAUGGGCGCAAGCCUGAUCCAGCCAUACCGCGUGGGUGAAGAAGGCCUUCGGGUUGUAAAGCCCUUUUGUUGGGAAAGAAAAGCAGCAGGUUAAUACCCCGCUGUUCUGACGGUACCCAAAGAAUAAGCACCGGCUAACUUCGUG